rnacentral:rRNA from 1 species
UACGUAGGGUGCAAGCGUUGUCCGGAAUUAUUGGGCGUAAAGAGCUCGUAGGCGGUUUGUCGCGUCCGUUGUGAAAACUCGAGGCUCAACCUCGGGCUUGCAGUGGAUACGGGCAGACUAGAGUGCGGUAGGGGAGACUGGAAUUCCUGGUGUAGCGGUGGAAUGCGCAGAUAUCAGGAGGAACACCGAUGGCGAAGGCAGGUCUCUGGGCCGCAACUGACGCUGAGGAGCGAAAGCAUGGGGAGCGAACAGG